AUUGAACGCUGGCGGCAUGCCUUACACAUGCAAGUCGAACGGCAGCGGGCCUUCGGGUGCCGGCGAGUGGCGAACGGUGAGUAAUGCAUCGGAACGUGCCAUUGAGUGGGGGAUAACGUAGCGAAAGUUGCGCUAAUACCGCAUAUUCUGUGAGCAGGAAAGCAGGGAACCGCAAGGCCUUGCGCUCUUUGAGCGGCCGAUGUCAGAUUAGCUAGUUGGUGAGGUAAAGGCUUACCAAGGCGACGAUCUGUAGCGGGUCUGAGAGGAUGAUCCGCCACACUGGAACUGAGACACGGUCCAGACUCCUACGGGAGGCAGCAGUGGGGAAUUUUGGACAAUGGGGGCAACCCUGAUCCAGCCAUGCCGCGUGAGUGAAGAAGGCCUUCGGGUUGUAAAGC
rnacentral:rRNA from 1 species